rnacentral:tRNA from 2 species
GCCCCCGUAGCUCAGCGGAUAGAGCACUGGUCUCCGGAACCAGAGGCGGAGGUUCGACUCCUCUCGGGGGUACCA